rnacentral:lncRNA from 10 species
UUUUUGAGCUUAGAGCAGAGUUUCUCAAGAGCUGCAAUACUGGCAUUUGAGUCAAGUCGUUCUUUAUUGUUGGUGGUGGAGGGGGCACCCUGUAUAUUGUAGGACGUUGGGCAGCAUCUCUGACUUCUACCUACUAGAUGCCAGUAUCUCAGUUUUCUUAAAAGACUUUUUUUUUUUUUUUUUUUUUUUUGAGAUGGAGUCUUGCUGUGUUGCCUAGGCUGGAGUGCAGUGGCACCAUGUCGACUCACUGCAACCUCCGCCUCCCCGGUUCAAGCGAUUCUCCUGCCUCAGCCUCCUGAGUAGCUGGGAUUACAGGUGAGCACCACCAUGCCCAGCUAAUCGUAAAAGACUUUUCAUAAAACUUCAGAACUCCUUAAAAACUAGUGAAUAGCCAAGGUGAAGAAAGCCCUCAGGCUUCUGACUUUAGACCCCAAUCCCUGGGACUCCCACACUCAGCAAAGAAAGCUGGGUGCCUGCACCCUGGAUCUCUGAGCAAACCUGUCUUAUGGCUGUGGGCAACUCAGGAACAUGAAUUAGCACGAGAAUCUGGAGUUUUUCUUUCCUUUUCUGCGAUGGAAUGAUCCUAGCGGGGCCUUGGAGGAACUGGAAUGUUCUUUGCCUAGUUGCACCUGCGUCAGCUCUGUAGGCCCAGCCCUGGGGCCCAGCAGCUGCUCCCCUGGUUUGCUUUCCUCCCAGGUUGCCUCAUGCUGCUGCUGAGCAACCUUCACCUGAUGGGCGGUGCCACAGCAGGAGAGUUUCAUACGCAGACCUUAAGUAGACAUAGUAUCCAGCUAAAAGGGUCUCACUCUGUCACCCAGGCUGGAGUGCAGUGGCGCAGUCAUGGCUCCCUGUAACCUCAACCUCUCAGACUCCAGCAAUCCUCCUGCGACAGGGAGGCAGUCAAUGGUGAAUGCUGGCCUCGCUGAUUACUCACCUGGAGACCUUUCUGAGGAUCAGUUUUCUCAUCUAGAAAAUGGGACAACUGCCAGACCACUGAAGAAAAUACAGAAAACAGCCCCACACAUCAGCAUGUUUGGUUGCUGCCAGUCUACUUGGAUCUGAGUAUUUUUUCUUGCCAUGAAUGUGACGUGAUUAUCUUCUCCUACAUCACACUGAAGUUUUAUGAAUGAUGCUUUGAAGUGGGAAGGGCCAGAGAGUUAAUAUUUUCGGCUUCUUGGGCCAGCUGGUCUCGGUGGCAGCUACUGAGCUCUGCCACUGCAGCAGAGAACGGGCACAGGCGAUAUGGAAAUGAUAGGCGCGGCUGUGUUCCAAUAAAACUUUAUUUACAAAAAUGGGCAGUAGACCAGAUUUGGUCUGUGUCUUAGAGUUUGCUGACCCUGCUUUAAAGAAACAUCAAAGAGAUUCUACCAGCUGAUUUCCUUGCUCCCAAAAUUCUUGUAAGGACUAUGGCUGAGUUAGGAAGUUAUGUACUUUAAUAGCUAAUUUCAGGCCUGGCGUGGUGGCUCACGCCUGUAAUCCCAGCACUUCGGGAGGCUGAGGUGGGUGGAUCACUUGAGGUCAGGAGUUUCAGACCAGCCUGGCCAACAUGGCGAAACCCUGUCUCUACUAAAAAUACAAAAAAAUUAGCUGGGCGUG